rnacentral:rRNA from 1 species
UGCAAGUCGUGGGGCAGCAGGGGUAGCAAUACCCGCUGGCGACCGGCAAACGGGUGCGGAACACGUACGCAACCUUCCUUUAACUGGAGAAUAGCCCCUCGAAAGAGGGAUUAAUACUCCGUAACAUAUUGAAGUGGCAUCACUUUAAUAUUAUAGCUCCGGCGGUUAAAGAUGGGCGUGCGCCUGAUUAGAUAGUUGGCGGGGUAACGGCCCACCAAGUCUGCGAUCAGUAACUGGUGUGAGAGCACGACCAGUCACACGGGCACUGAGACACGGGCCCGACUCCUACGGGAGGCAGCAGUAAGGAAUAUUGGUCAAUGGACGCAAGUCUGAACCAGCCAUGCCGCGUGGAGGAUUAAGGCCCUCUGGGUUGUAAACUCCUUUUAUCUGGGAAGAAAUGCAUUUUUUCUAAAGUGCUUGACGGUACCAGAGGAAUAAGCACCGGCUAACUCCGUGCCAGCAGCCGCGGUAAUACGGAGGGUGCAAGCGUUAUCCGGAUUCACUGGGUUUAAAGGGUGCGUAGGCGGGCAGGUAAGUCCGUGGUGAAAUCUCUGAGCUUAACUCAGAAACUGCCAUGGAUACUAUUUGUCUUGAAUAUUGUGGAGGUAAGCGGAAUAUGUCAUGUAGCGGUGAAAUGCUUAGAUAUGACAUAGAACACCAAUUGCGAAGGCAGCUUACUACACAGUUAUUGACGCUGAGGCACGAAAGCGUGGGGAUCAAACAGGAUUAGAUACCCUGGUAGUCCACGCCCUAAACGAUGAUUACUCGACAUCAGCGAUACACUGUUGGUGUCUGAGC